GAUGAACGCUGGCGGCGUGCUUAACACAUGCAAGUCGAGCGAAGCACUUUUGCAGAUUUCUUCGGAUUGAAGCAGCUGUGACUGAGCGGCGGACGGGUGAGUAACGCGUGGGUAACCUGCCUCAUACAGGGGGAUAACAGUUGGAAACGGCUGCUAAUACCGCAUAAGCGCACAGUACCGCAUGGUACGGUGUGAAAAACUCCGGUGGUAUGAGAUGGACCCGCGUCUGAUUAGGUAGUUGGUGGGGUAACGGCCUACCAAGCCGACGAUCAGUAGCCGACCUGAGAGGGUGACCGGCCACAUUGGGACUGAGACACGGCCCAAACUCCUACGGGAGGCAGCAGUGGGGAAUAUUGCACAAUGGGGGAAACCCUGAUGCAGCGACGCCGCGUGAGCGAUGAAGUAUUUCGGUAUGUAAAGCUCUAUCAGCAGGGAAGAAAAUGACGGUA
rnacentral:rRNA from 1 species